rnacentral:siRNA from 1 species
GUCAAUGAUGUUGCGGUUCUCUU